AGACGGAGGUGGCAAGCGUUGCUCGGAAUUACUGGGCUUAAAGGGCGUGUAGGCGGUGUGCUAAGUCGGGUGUGAAAUCCCUCGGCUCAACCGAGGAAUUGCAUUCGAAACUGGUUCACUAGAGUGCGGGAGGGGAGAGUGGAACUCCAGGUGUAGCGGUGAAAUGCGUAGAUAUCUGGAGGAACGCCGGUGGCGAAAGCGACUCUCUGGCCCGCAACUGACGCUGAGGCGCGAAAGCCAGGGUAGCGAACGGGAUUAGAAACCCCAGUAGUCC
rnacentral:rRNA from 1 species